CAGAGGUGAGUGCUGUCAUGUAAGGCAGUAAUAGUGGGAAAAUUAUUAAGAAGCUUCAAAGUUAUGAAUCCAAACCCAGUGCUUCUGUGCUGUCUUUUGCUCUACCCAAACAGCCUCUACUGCCCCACAGCUGAGGAAACUUGCAUGGGAGUCCGCUCUACCAGAAAAUGGUCAUUAGGAAAAGAGAGAGAAUUUCACGGGCACAAUCAAAACUUGCUAAUCCAAAGAAAGUUGUGAACUAAGAAAACAAUCUCAAGAUUGUAUCAAACAUUGCUUAACUCUGUUCUGGUUGAAAAUCACUGCACACAGGGUGGACAACAACUGAUCAAAGUAUGAGAUAAUUGGGAUAAAAUGAUGGAGAAAAUCAUGGCUGUGUUGAUGAAAUUUGGAAUACCACAGUUCAUACAAACCAUCUCUACGGAGAGUGGAGAAGUGGAGAUAUGCUGUGCCACUCACCAGGAUGCUGGACAGCCUGCCUAUUCUACAGCUACUGGGGAAGUAAAGAGAGUAAAAAGUGCUCAGGGCUUCAUGAUCAGAGUAUUAAUCAGUGAAAAUGGGGGAUGCAAAGAAACUUCAUCUUUGCAUAUAAUUAGCUGGCAUUCAAGUCACUGUUUUGAUGGGAUUACUUUUAGACUCCAUUGAGGCAGCUGAGCUGGGCAUGGUAAUUCAGCACAGUUGCAUGUGCAGAUAGUAGCUCUCAGAUGCUGGCUUGAGUCCUGAAAGCAGUACAACAGUGUUGGCUAUAAAUAAUACAGCAGGGAAUAUGUAGGCAAUGCUGUUUUCAAUACUCAUGUUAAUCUAUUACAAGUUUGUUUUGGUAUCUCUCCCUGACACAGCUUUAUGCUGCUUAGACUUAUCCUUCAUGUGCAAGCAGGGAAGCUCUUUGGUUUUUUUGUGCGGAGGCAACAUGCAACUCACAGCUGUAUCUGGGAGGAGAAAGAACAGAUGGGCUGGAAGUAAUUGUGCCAUGUUCAAAAUUACAAUUAAAAUUCUAUGCUGCUUCUUGAGGAAUAAAAAUCCAAAGGAGAAAAAUCCUCAGGUUUUGUUUUUCAGAUGAUCAUAUGAAAAUGAAGACUGGGGCAUGGUCUCACUGAAAGAUUCCAGAAAGAAUGUUGGCAAUGGACAAUAGAGAGGCACAGACAACUCUGAAAUACUGCGAGUAAUUUUUGUCCUGACAGUAUUGGAGAAAGAAUGUUCAGUCUUGAGGUUACAGGCACACUGUGUUCAUUCAGACAUUUGCCCAUGAAGUUGAGGAGCCUUGGCUGUGCUUGGAGACAUGAAGCCUACAAACAAC